UCUCCGUUGGUGAACCAGCGGAGGGAUCAUUACUGAGUUACCGCUCUACAACCCUUUGUGAACAUACCUAACUGUUGCUUCGGCGGGCAGAGGUCCCUCGCGGAUCUCUCCCGGCAACGCCCUCACGGGCGGUGCGCCCGCCGGAGGAUACCAAACUCUAUUUUAACGACGUUUCUUCUGAGUGGCACAAGCAAAUAAUUAAAACUUUUAACAACGGAUCUCUUGGUUCUG
rnacentral:misc_RNA from 1 species